UCUCUCUCUCUCUCGAUGAUUCUUUCCGACUCUAGGGUUAGGGAUUCGCUCGCCUCUUUCUGUCUCUCGACUCCAUAAUCUUCCGUCGGGGUUCCGAUCUGGAGCUUCCUGGGAUCUCCCAGGUAUCGCACCGCGAGCUAGGGUUCCCUGGCUCGAAUUCUUUCCCGAGCAAGUGCCAUCGGGUGAUCCCCUAGGUGGAAUCAUCCGGGUGGUAGGCAGUCCUGUAGUUUCGAUCGCGAUCGAAUAUGAGCGAGCUGAUGAUUGGGAAACUACAGACGUCAAUUAUGCAUUGGGAAGAUAAUUCCAUGGGGAACCAUGAUGUUUAUAAUACCAUAUUGAUAUUUUUGUCCAUCACAUCAGAAUGUCGGUGCAAACUGUAGCGCAUAAUUUGGUCUUGUUGAUUCACCUGUGGUAUACAAGCAGGUCUAAGCGGGUUCGCUUCUGAGUUACAAAAUGAGGCGACCGGGACAGUAUGCGGAUCCUGGCAUUAAUCCUAUGGUGGCUGCUGAGAUGCAGCACUUAUCAGCUCACAGAUUGCAACAGAACUCGGGGAUGAAUCAUUUUCCAGGAAGGGCAGAUUCUUUGCGGACUGAGGAAGAACAACAGUAUAUCUCUUCUAAAUCAGAGAGACAGUGGCAAUGGGAUAGAGAUGAGCCUAAGGGAUCAAAUCAACCCUCAUCUCAUAUGUACAAAGAAGGUCAAGGAAGUGAUGCUUCACGAUCUUUAUAUGAAGGUCAAAGGUCUGAUUCAAAAACAGGACUGGAAAAACAAGCCAUUAGAGACCUGAGAGCUCAAGCUCGUCAAGAAGAAAUGGAAACUGGAUAUGAGGAUAACACUCUUCCGCAGACAUUUGAAGGUCUAGAACAGAAAUUUCUUCAUGAUAUAAUGAAAUUAUCCAAGGAACAUCAGGAUGCAGAAGAUGCAGAAAACGCUAGGCACAGGGAAAGGCUGAGCGAGAUCAAUGCACAGUAUCAGGAGAAACUAUUGGCAGUCCGAGCUCGUCAAGCUACCCACCGAGAGGAGUUCCUUCGCAAGGAAUCACAAGCACGCCAUCAGCAAUACCAACAGGCUAAUAUGAACAGCUAUCAGAACAGUGCUGGACCCAGUGAGGCUUAUGGUUAUGGUUCAGCUGCCACAGCUGCCAGUGCUUAUGGAGAUGCACAUCGGGCCUAUGCUGCAAGUCAUUUGGACCCCUAUGGGGAGAGGUCUGAAUUUAUGGGAAGUGCUAGGGGUCAUGGUUUUGAACCUCGUGGUCAGUAUCCUGGUGGCCGUGCUUACAACAUGGGUGGUCGCCAUUUUUGAGGAAAAGUUGCAGGAAUUAGAGCUAUCUUUUGAGCCUUCGCUUUUAGUUCACUGAUUGCAUUUGUAUAGGAUCGCAUUCCAGCUGCAAAAUUGAGUGGCGGCGAAAGAUCCAUGUCAUCUGUCAGCACCAAUUGCCUUUGGACAUUGCAGUGACGCUUAAUGUGGAUAAGAAAGAAGCUUAUCAUAUCUGUUUUGGAACUGAUUCGAGGUGAUCUUUCCUUUUUUUUUUGGGAGCAAACUGAUGUAGAAUUGUUGAAAAUCUAGCUCCGAUUUUAUAAAGACCAAAGGAUUUUGGUUCCAGGCUCAACAGAAUACUAGAGUUUUAGUAGUUUUUGUUUGGACAUAGGAUCAACUUAUUGGACCUGGAGGUUGGUGUAUGGCCAACUGAACCCGGCGUCCUGGAUUAAUUGUCAGCAUUUUCUUAUACAGGUUUCGAGGCGUGCAUUGCAGAGUUCCACUUCCAUUCACAUUUACAACCGCUCAGUCUGAUUUUAUGCAAAUUUGUAUUUAACUA